AGAAGGUAGUAUUAGUUGUACGGAAUGGUGUUCCUGAAAUCACGCUUUCCAGCCACGUGUAUAGUAUUAUGAAAAUUUUCAAACAUUUCUCCUCUCUCACUGAAUUUCCUUUACCAAUUUAUCUAAUUUCCUUUGCCGCCUUCUUCCUCGCUUCUCCUCCUCCUCCUCUCUCAAUUACGUGUGUUUCAUUGAAAUAUCUUUUGACCGGAAACAAUAUCAAAAUGAAGAUGUGAGACUGAAAAUUUGCAAUUGGUAUUUUCAGUUUCUUCCCAAUUCUCUUCACAGGUGUUACAAUCUAUACAAUUUUCAGGUUUGUUCUACUAUCAAUUUUGCCCUUCUGAAUCUUGUAGCUUGACGACUUCGUUGUUUUGCUUGAUUUUUCCCUCUGUUUGAUCUCCAUUUCUUAACCUUUGCCUCUGAUUUUUUGUGGUGGUCGUUUUUCCAAAAUAAAGAAUUACCAAGUUGGAUUUGGAACUCAGAAAUCUUUGAAACAAGAAAUUGGAUUUUGGCCGACCCGCAUAGAGUUCCUUCAUUUACUUCCACUCUGUUUAACCGGGACUAUCCGUCAGGCUUCUUUGGGUUUCUGAUUGUGGAAUGCGGUGCAGUUACUGACGACAUCUUACUUAUUUUUAUUUUUAUUUUCAUUCUCUACUUUACUUGAUUAAUUAUUUCAUGCAAAGUGAAGUUGUGACAAACUAAUCGCUUAGCAACUUCAAAUUAACACAAGAAAUAAAUAAUUUUCUUAUGGUUUACUUUAGAAUUGAAGCUGCAAGAAACUUCAUUCCCCUGCUCUCGAGCUUGUGAGAUUAUAUGCAGUUCUUUAAAAUGAUGUUAAUCCGUAAUCCUUAAAUAAAAUUGCAUAUAGAUAAAAUUUUAAUUUUGACUAUGCUACUUCAAGAAGGUUUUCUUUUACGGCUUAUAAUGUCACAUGUGAGAUUCCAAAAGCUGAAUGCAUCUCUAAGAAUUCAUAGUAUAUGUGCCAAAACCAAAAAAGAAAUCUAAGAAUCUGCAAUAUAGGUUCUCAACAGCCAAAACAAUAAACUGUCAAUCAUGUCGUUUUUUAGAUGUCAUUAUGUUGUAUAUGUUUGGAAACUUGGUAUUGGAGACUAGCCUUUCGUCCAUCUUAAAUACUUAUUUUGGUGAAUGAUGGAUAAAUACAAUUCCUUCCCCGUACCGCCAAUGAAUAAAGUCAAUAGAUCUUAAAUUGGUAUAUGCACUUGCUCUUGCUCAUGCCACUUCUAAUUAGAACUUUUAGAAAUAUUACUCUUCUGGUAACUUUUUAAUUCCUUCUUGUAACUUCUGCCUUAUUAACUACCUGCAGUGUACUACUAGAAAGAGGUAGUGUAGCUGCUGAUUUGUUACGUGACUUUAAUAUUAAGUGAACUUCAAUUCAAUUUUCUUACUAUUGUCUCCUAAAUAGUAAUCCAUAGAAUUAGCUAAGUGAAACUACAUAGCUACAAUGUGUCAUCAUAAGGACCUGUAUACAAUAUUUGUUGUGCUUUAGGAAAUAUGCUAAACUAAUAGAGGAUCAAGUUUUACCGAAAUAAUAAUUAAUGAAAGUAGUACAUUGUUAAGCAUGGUUACAGAAGGAGAGGACAAAAGGAGGAUGAGCAACAUAGACAUCAACACUGAUGCAUAAUUACUGUGACAAAGUGUACAAUAAGAGCUUGAUGUUUACUUAAAAUGUGUUGAUGUUUCUUUCAUGCUCUUUACGGUUGAAAAUCAGCAAUUGAAAUUGGUUUACCUGAACUGCACGAGUAAAGAGAUUUCCGGCAUUUACAGUGAAAGUGAAACAACUUGGAUGAGACAAGCGUAGCUAUUGUUUGAACUGAUUUCGGCCAUUUUAUGAGGAUGAGGAUGAUUGUCAAACAAUGGAACAUAGAGCAUGGAUAACAGUCUUUAAUAAAUGUUUGUAACUUACUUUUUCACUUAUUCUGCAUGUUUUCCCCUUAAAGUAUAAACAUGAAACAAACAGAUUGUGACCUUAUCAGUUUUUCUAUAGGUGGCUGGAAACUUAAUAUCUGCAGGGCAUCUGCUUACAGAUUUCAUAUGUGCAUGUUAAGCUAACAUAUAAAUAUUGCAUUAGCUGAAUUCUUACAUGCACAUGUGCUAUUACUUUGCAUAUAUUUUUUGUGAUUUGUAAUAAUUUUUUUCAUUGUUUGGUUCAGGCUUGAGAAGGAAAAGAGAAGGUUUAAAGUCUUUCAGUUGAAUGAUUUGUGUGAUGAGACCAGAGAAUCCUAGAGCACUCCAUCGCUUGGGGUUCAUGGUCAUUAUGUUCGUUAACUUAUAGUUACUUUCAGCAACUUAGUAUUGCUAUUUUGAUCAUAAGAAUUUUUACGUGCAUUUUUUCUCUCCAUCAUGUUUAUGAAUUAAUUUACAAGCAUCUUAAAUAAAAGUUGAAAUAUAUUAUUAUUCAAGAUGUAAUCUUUGAUAGCAAUAUGUGUAGAUUUAGCAGAACUUUUAGCAAUUAGACACCAAGUAGUUGAAAAAAUGAAGAAAUAAUUUAAGACUACUUAACCUAAUGUGUUGAUACAUUGUGAUAGAAAAAUAAAACAUCAGGUGAUAAUAGUUAAAACUCUGUAAUGAAUUUACGUUGUAUCAAGGCUUGCAAAAUUAGUAUCAGGAAAUUCUCUAGAUUGAUAUCCUAAGCCACAAUUGGUGUCACAAAAUUAGAUUAUUUUAUUAUGGUUCAAAAUCUUCCAAACUUCCAUAAAUUUUUUCAGGACCACUGAUAUAUUGUUAUCAUGCCUAUCGCAAAAGCGCAGGUUGAUAUUACUUUGUUGUAUUCAUCAGCUUGUUGCAUUAACCUAUUGCUAGCGUGAAAGCUGUUUGAUGAUUGUGAUAAAUACUACUAUGGAGAUCAUGGUUCUUUAGAAUGUUAUGACUCUUGAGUAUGGGGUAUGACAACAGCUUGGAUUGUAUAAAACAGGUAUGUUACCUUUCCUUUUAUUAAUUGGUGUAUUGGAGAUGCAUAGGAUAGUUUUAAUUGUACCUUGACUCUUAGUUUAAGAACUCAAGAUGGCAAUAACAAGAUGGAUUAUACUUCAGCUGCUUUACACUGUGGUGCUGGACAAGCACAUGAUUAAGAACUUGAAGUAUUUUCUAAUAGUUUCAACUUAGUUUCCACUUGCUGCAUUGAUGUGUGAUUUUUUUUUUUAAAAAAUUGAUUAUCAAGGCAGAAUUCAUCGAGGGGUAUAGUUAUAUUCAAAGAUGGUUACAAGAUAAGUUACUUUCCAGGAAAUAAUUCUUUGCUCGGCUAAUCCAAAGUCAUGGAAAGGCCUCUCAAGCAUGAACGUAGUUUAAACUAUAUAUUUACAAUCCUUUGGCAUCUUCAGUUCAUCAGUUCUCAUUGCUUCCUUGCCUACAAAAUAAAAACUGUUUAUUUACUUUUUGCAAAAAAUUUCCAUACGACCUUAAUUAACACAAGCAGAAAAGGAGAGAGCUGAGGGAGAUGUGAAAUAAAGACAACAAAAGGAAAAGGGCCAUGAAUGCUAACCUUAAACAAUCACAUUGGAAUACAAAAACAGGAGUUUGAUGCAGAGGCUGAUACUCCUGAAAUGGAAGUUGAUAAGAUGCGUCAACACAUCAAGAACAAUAGGUUCUUUCACGUGGUGCCAACUUACUCAUGCAUAUGCAGGUAGUUAACUAAUCAUCUAAAUAACACUUUGUUUUUACAUGGUAUAUAUAACAUCCAUUUUUUUUCAUAGUUAAUUAGUUGGAUGUCAUUUUGCCAAUGCGUACGCCUGAUUUAUUUGUCUCUGAAACUUAAAAACUAUGUGUUGUAUAACUUCAUUUUUACAAGGUACAUAUAUAAUUCAUUUUGCUUCAUAGUUUAGUUGGAUGUCAUUGACCAAUGUUGUCCAGUUUAUUUGACACUGAAACAAUGGGAAGAAGUGUGGGAAUGGAGGGAAAUGACCAUUUGGUGCACGAACUUGUAGAUGUUGAAAGAUUUUCAGAAUUUAUCAAAAACAUUGUCCAAACCAUGGGAAUGAUUUUCAAAUUCCAAGGAAGACUAAACAGUACCUUAUCUGGGAGCAUCUUAUGAAGCCAUUCAAGGAAAACUAAAUAGAACCUUAUCUGGGAUCAUUUUUUUUUUUUUCCUCAAGUUCAUGUGUAUUUGUGGUUGUGGAUAUGUCAGUUUGUUGUUUGAAGACUUCCACCACGUGUAUUUGAGAUUUCAAAUGGAAUAUGGUUUGAAAUGACUGGGACUUGCUUGCAUUAACGUUAGAAGAUAUAUAUUUUUUCUUUGAUAAGGAACGUUAGAAGAUAUAUUUAGUCUUUGAAUUCCUCUUUGUUUUAUACCUUAUGUACAUGUUAUGUACAAUACAAUGACAAUCAGAAUUUUUCGAAAGACUUUAACUAAACUGGAAAUCAAAUUAACCAUGUUGGGCCAGUGCUAGACUUGCUAGUAUAUAUUAGAAACGACAGUUGGGGUACGAACAUGGACGAACAAGGGGCAGUUUUGUAAUUUUCGUGUUUCAUUUGUUUGGGGCAAAUUUGGGACUGAAGACCUUCUGUAUAUCAUACCCCAUAAAAUACGGUUCUUCUUCUUCUUCAGAUCUAGAAUCUGCCCCAUACGGUUCUUCUUCCUUCAGAUUCUGGAAUCUACCCGGUCAAGAGAUCUAUUCUCCCUCGCUUCUCUUUCUCUGCUUCUAGCCCGGAUCUGCUCCUCAAUUCAGAUUAUUUAAGUUGUUUUUCUUCUUUUUUCUGACUUCUCUUCACCCUCUCUUCUUCAGUGUGUCCAAUUCAAUGGUGGCUAUUUUCAUUCUUUUUUUUAAUUUUUAGGAGUGCUCUUUUAUUUUUUCCCUUUAUGAUCAAUGCAUAAGAAAAAAAAAAUUAGUUCAAGCACUAUUCAUCACGGUAUGAUUCUUUUACCGGGAGCUAUAGUCAUCAGCUGAGUAGUCAACUUUUUCCAUUCUAAAAAUCACAACAUAGGAAGAAGUUUUGGAGCACCUUAAUAGAGCAAGUAAACACCAAUCGCUAAAAGAAGUUGGAAAUGAAAGGAUCUCGGAAAAGAGAUAUUAGUAAGUUAUAAAGUAGAAGGUACUAUAACAUCUCAAUUGGUUGUAUUGGCUGUGAUUCAGCUAAUGUAAAGUGCUGUUUUUUAAUAUGUUUAAUUAGAACAUUAUCCUCAUGGAAGUUAGAUCUUUCUAAGUAAACUUUUCCCAACCAACAUAUAUACUAAUAUUCUAAUUUAAUGCUAAAUUGUUCUUGUAGCAGUAUGUGUUGUAAUUGAUCUCCAAGUUUAGCAGAAUCAUGGUAUCUUCAAGUAUAAGACAUCAUAGUCCAUACACAACUUUUGCAUUUAAUGACAGCUUGCAGCAUGGAGACCAUAACUCUCGGGAUAAAAGGAUAGGCAUGAAAACAAAUGUCUUAGAGGAGAAGGAGACAACGACAUGGUUUAAUUUGCUGCUAUGCUGAAUUUUUAAUGACUUGAAGCAAGGUUUCUACUCAUGAAUCAACCAGGUUGCUCCGAAAUAAAUUCAACUGCUCAAAUUCUGUUUCCCUGAGGAAGUUAGAAAGCUAGAGUUUCAGUUAUAUAGGGAUGGAUGACGCAGAGAUAUAGUAUGUGACAAUAGAACUGGAAUGCUAAAGGGGGAGAUUUUUCAUCUAGCCAAUUGAUUACCUUCACUGAAGUCUGCAGGCUUCAACAAAUGCAGAGGACGAGAUUUUAUAGAUUAUGAUUAGAAAGCAGAGGCUGGAUCCGGAAUGAUAGAGCGUAGAAGUUCCAUCAUCAAAUCACAGACUCUAUUGUCCAGUGCCACAUAAACCGACCAUUUUAAUAUUCUGCAUAUGAAGAUGGGCCCAAGUCUCAUUCGCUUCCAUCCCAUUUUCUUUGAGUGAUUCAAAGUGUCCCUUCCUCUUCUGUUUAUUGUAGGAUUUUUCACUUGCAUGCACAUGGCACUUGACACACCUGAUUGAACUUGCAAAGUUCAAAUUGUGGACAUGAGUCGUGAGCGAGAAAGCCCUGAGAAUAGAAUCAGAUUCCAAAAUCUGAUUUUGGAAGAUGAAGAGGUAAUUUCAUCAAUAGUCUGAACAAUUUCGAUAACAAUCGAACAUUGUUUUCUUCAAUCCUUCUUAGGUGUUUUAGGUGUAUAUAAGAAGUGUUCCCUACUUUGGGAACUACAUGAAUGGAUGAGGAAACUAAAAAGGCAGCAUAUGAGGUGUAGUUCUGCCAAUCAAUUCCAAAAUUUUACUAUUGCCAAGUAAAUAAUGUUUACUGAGUUGUACUCGGCAUUCAGCACAUAGACAUAGUGUUUACUUUGUUCCACUAGCAGAGGAGAAGUACCAAGGUUGCAGGAAGUGAUUCUGGAGCUAAUUUGCAGGAAGAGACAUUUGGUUAUUGAGAUUUGAGACACAAAGUUGAUCUAUUUUCCUGUGGAAACUAUAGAAACUGGUACUUCUGCAGAAAUUGAAGAUGAUAUGGCUUUAGCUCUUAUAGGUAUUUGGCAAUUUCUGAUGUUAAAAAGGUUGAAUGCAAUGUGUUGUGAUAUAUAGGGAGCUUGUAAUUAUACUGUCUAUAUAUAUUCUUGCACGAAGUGUUGAAGAUGUCUUAACUUUUGAAAGAGGGAAAUGCCGGUAAAUGCAUUUGACUGGUUUCUUCUCCAUUGAUAUUCGGCCUGGUGACCUUAGGUUUGCCACUGGUGGUGGUGAUCACAAGUUUUAUAAUUUACCCAUCGGGCACACGCAAUCGAAGUGAUCUGCCUCGAUUGGAGGGACUAACAUACAUCUCCAAGUUUAGCAGGUUUGCCACUGGUGGUGGUGAUCACAAGUUUUAUAAUUUACCCAUCGGGCACACGCAAUCGAAGUGAUCUGCCUCGAUUGGAGGGACUAACAUACAUCUCCAAGUUUAGCAGAAUCAUGGUAUCUUCAAGUAUAAGACAUCAUAGUCCAUAUUUACUGCAGGUUUCCGGCUCAGCCUUUCAGAAAGAUGGGCAAGGGUUCGGCUUGCUUUCUUAACGAGAUAGAAAUAAUUAAUUUAGGAUCCCUGAAAGAUGUUUUGAUGUUUUUGGUUGAAAACACUUUAUGUUCACCUCAUUCUAUUCAAUUUAUGAAGUUAUAUGUACUCUUACAUUGCGUUUGUUUCAACAGAUCCAAGACACUUCAACUUCUUCGCAUUUGCUGAUAGACUCCCUGUAGUAGCAUUGUGCCAUACUACCAUUGAACAUUGAGUUUAUCAUUCGACUUAUGGAUUCGUAGGAAGAUGGCUCAGUUGCAUGUACCCUAUGGAGAUGGCUGCACUACUUUUAACUUCGUAGUUUUUCCUUCUAAAGUUGGAGACUGAUGCUAUACUUCUAACUCACUGUAAUAUUUUUGCAUUCCGUACUAAACAUUUUUUAUGUCGUGCUUUGUUAGAAGAGGUUGUUGUAAGAAUGACUUCUCCAAACAAGAAUUUGGAAUUGUUGUGCUAUUGGUACUUCAA